rnacentral:snRNA from 1 species
CCGGGCGGAGCGGCCGUCGG